rnacentral:sRNA from 1 species
AACCUAACCCUUUGGCUUUUGUCAAAGAUAUGGUCUCAAAUCGUAGGACACGAAAAACCCAUCAUUAGGGCGUGUCCUACGUUAUAGGGGGAAACUCCUAUAGGAGACUUCGGUCUCU